rnacentral:rRNA from 1 species
UUGAACGCUGGCGGCAGGCCUAACACAUGCAAGUCGAACGGUAACAGAAAGAAGCUUGCUUCUUUGCUGACGAGUGGCGGACGGGUGAGUAAUGUCUGGGAAACUGCCUGAUGGAGGGGGAUAACUACUGGAAACGGUAGCUAAUACCGCAUAACGUCGCAAGACCAAAGAGGGGGACCUUCGGGCCUCUUGCCAUCGGAUGUGCCCAGAUGGGAUUAGCUUGUUGGUGGGGUAACGGCUCACCAAGGCGACGAUCCCUAGCUGGUCUGAGAGGAUGACCAGCCACACUGGAACUGAGACACGGUCCAGACUCCUACGGGAGGCAGCAGUGGGGAAUAUUGCACAAUGGGCGCAAGCCUGAUGCAGCCAUGCCGCGUGUAUGAAGAAGGCCUUCGGGUUGUAAAGUACUUUCAGCGGGGAGGAAGGGAGUAAAGUUAAUACCUUUGCUCAUUGACGUUACCCGCAGAAGAAGCACCGGCUAACUCCGUGCCAGCAGCCGCGGUAAUACGGGGGGUGCAAGCGUUAAUCGGAAUGACUGGGAGUAAAGCGAACGCAGGCGGUUUGUUAAGUCAGAUGUGAAAUCCCCGGGCUCAACCUGGGAACUGCAUCUGAUACUGGCAAGCUUGAGUCUCGUAGAGGGGGGUAGAAUUCCAGGUGUAGCGGUGAAAUGCGUAGAGAUCUGGAGGAAUACCGGUGGCGAAGGCGGCCCCCUGGACGAAGACUGACGCUCAGGUGCGAAAGCGUGGGGAGCAAACAGGAUUAGAUACCCUGGUAGUCCACGCCGUAAACGAUGUCGACUUGGAGGUUGUGCCCUUGAGGCGUGGCUUCCGGAGCUAACGCGUUAAGUCGACCGCCUGGGGAGUACGGCCGCAAGGUUAAAACUCAAAUGAAUUGACGGGGGCCCGCACAAGCGGUGGAGCAUGUGGUUUAAUUCGAUGCAACGCGAAGAACCUUACCUGGUCUUGACAUCCACAGAACUUUCCAGAGAUGGAUUGGUGCCUUCGGGAACUGUGAGACAGGUGCUGCAUGGCUGUCGUCAGCUCGUGUUGUGAAAUGUUGGGUUAAGUCCCGCAACGAGCGCAACCCUUAUCCUUUGUUGCCAGCGGUCCGGCCGGGAACUCAAAGGAGACUGCCAGUGAUAAACUGGAGGAAGGUGGGGAUGACGUCAAGUCAUCAUGGCCCUUACGACCAGGGCUACACACGUGCUACAAUGGCGCAUACAAAGAGAAGCGACCUCGCGAGAGCAAGCGGACCUCAUAAAGUGCGUCGUAGUCCGGAUUGGAGUCUGCAACUCGACUCCAUGAAGUCGGAAUCGCUAGUAAUCGUGGAUCAGAAUGCCACGGUGAAUACGUUCCCGGGCCUUGUACACACCGCCCGUCACACCAUGGGAGUGGGUUGCAAAAGAAGUAGGUAGCUUAACCUUCGGGAGGGCGCUUACCACUUUGUGAUUCAUGACUGGGGUG